UCCGGUUGAUCCUGCCGGACCUGACUGCUAUCGGAUUGGUACUAAGCCAUGCGAGUCAUUGUAGCAAUACAAGGCGGACGGCUCAGUAACACGUAGUCAACUAACUCGUGGACGUGGAUAACCUCGGGAAACUGAGAAUAAACCACGAUAGAUCAUAGUGCCUGGAAUGGCUUAUGGUCCAAACAGUUUACUGCCAUGGGAUGGGACUGCGGCCUAUCAGCUUGUUGGUGAGGUAAUGGCCCACCAAGGCGAUUACAGGUACGGGCUCUGAGAGGAGUAGCCCGGAGAUGGGUACUGAGACACGGACCCAGGCCCUAUGGGGCGCAGCAGGCGAGAAACCUUAGCAAUGUGCGAAAGCACGACUGGGUCAGUCCGAGUGAUUCCUGAUAAAGGAGUCUUUUGCCUGUCCUAAAAGCACAGGUGAAUAAGGGGUGGGCAAGUCUGGUGUCAGCCGCCGCGGUAAUACCAGCACCUCGAGUGGUCAGGACGUUUAUUGGGCCUAAAGCAUCCGUAGCCGGCUCUGCAAGUCUUCGGUUAAAUCCACCUGCUCAACAGAUGGGCCGCUGGAGAUACUACAGAGCUAGGGAGUGGGAGAGGCAGACGGUAUUCAGUGGGUAGGGGUAAAAUCCUCUGAUCCAUUGAGGACCACCAGUGGCGAAGGCGGUCUGCCAGAACACGUUCGACGGUGAGGGAUGAAAGCUGGGGGAGCAAACCGGGUUAGAUACCCGGGUAGUCCCAGCUGUAAACGAUGCAAACUCGGUGAUGCAUUGGCUUAUGGCCAAUGCAGUGCCGCAGGGAAGCCGUUAAGUUUGCCGCCUGGGAAGUACGGACGCAAGUCUGAAACUUAAAGGAAUUGGCGGGGGAGCACCACAAGGGGUGAAGCCUGCGGUUCAAUUGGAUUCAACGCCGGA
rnacentral:rRNA from 1 species